GACGAACGCUGGCGGCGUGCCUAAUACAUGCAAGUUGAGCGCUGAAGGUUGGUACUUGUACCGACUGGAUGAGCAGCGAACGGGUGAGUAACGCGUGGGGAAUCUGCCUUUGAGCGGGGGACAACAUUUGGAAACGAAUGCUAAUACCGCAUAAAAACUUUAAACACAAGUUUUAAGUUUGAAAGAUGCAAUUGCAUCACUCAAAGAUGAUCCCGCGUUGUAUUAGCUAGUUGGUGAGGUAAAGGCUCACCAAGGCGAUGAUACAUAGCCGACCUGAGAGGGUGAUCGGCCACAUUGGGACUGAGACACGGCCCAAACUCCUACGGGAGGCAGCAGUAGGGAAUCUUCGGCAAUGGACGAAAGUCUGACCGAGCAAAGCCGCGUGAGUGAAGAAGGUUUUCGGAUCGUAAAACUCUGUUGGUAGAGAAGAACGUUGGUGAGAGUGGAAAGCUCAUCAAGUGACGGUAACUACCCAGAAAGGGACGGCUAACUACGUG
rnacentral:rRNA from 1 species